rnacentral:rRNA from 1 species
AUGAUAGGAAAUAGCCUUAAAAGGCUCCUUUUUGGUAAGAAGGUCCUAAUCAUCUUUGAUGACCUGUGGGAAAGGGAACAAACUGAGUUGGAAAAAUUGAAGAAUAUGCUAAAGCCGGGUGAAGGGAGCAAAGUGGUGGCGGUAGUAACCACACGAGAAGAAAAUAUUGCACAGAAAAUUCAGGCGGUGGAGCCGUACAAGCUAGCUCCCUUGACAGAUGACAUUUGUUGGGCUAUCAUAAAAGAUAAGACUUCCUUUGAUGCUAGAACUGACAGAGCACAGUUAGAGAUGAUCGGGAAGGACAUUGCAAAGAAGUGUGGAGGCAUGGCUUUAGCAGCCCAAUCUAUUGGGUAUAUGCUGGACUAUAUGAAGUCAUCUGAUGAAUGGGUGUCGCUGAACAACAGUGAGUUCUGGGACGUGCUUGCCUCAAAAGAAUUUUCACCUCAUCAGGUGCAUGCAUCCUUGCUGCUAAGCUAUCGCAGUAUGGGUUCAUAUUUGAAGCUAUGCUUUGUCUAUUGUGCAAUCUUUCCAAAAGGUCACUGGAUAGCUAAAGAAGCUCUAGUUCACCAAUGGGUUGCUCUUGGACUUGUUGAGCCACCAAUGGCAUCAUCCUACAAUCAACAUAGCAGUGAUAGAUAUAUUAAUCAGCUUUUAGGCAUGUGCUUCCUUGAACAUCCAAAGUCGUCAUGGAGUAUGCAAGUUGAAACUGAAUUCUUGGUCAUGCAUGACCUAGUACAUGAUCUCGCAAGAUCUGUUCUGGCCGAUGAAAUUGGUAUAGAGGAUCAAACCUGCCGAUAUGCGUGGCUGACAGAUCACAGAAAGCUAUUCAAGUCAUCAAUGACCCCACUCGCCAAGAUAAGGGCACUGCAUUUUCAUGAUCGUAGCAACUAUCAGCUUGAUCGUGAUGCAUUUUCACCAGCUAAAUGCCUCCGUGUUUUAGAUUUAAGCAGAUAUUGUACGCAAGAGUUGCCUGAUUCUAUUGGUCAGCUGAAACAGUUGAGGUAUCUCGAUGCUUCUUCAUGGAGCCGGAAGCGCGAACGGUGGGAGUCUACAAGGAUACCAAAAGCUCUGGGUGCCCUUAACAAACUGCAGUAUUUGAAUUUAUCACGACGUGGCAGGCUCGUAGGACUGCCAAAGGUCAUGAGCAAUCUCAUGGAACUCCGGUAUCUAAAUAUAUCACACUGCCACGGUUAUUAUUUAUCAGACAGCCCAUCGGCAAAUCAAAGUUUCAUUGACUGUAUCGGUACCCUUCCCAAUCUGGAGCAGCUGGACCUGUCUUGGAAUGACUAUUGUUUUUGUGUACCUGAAAGUUUUAGCAGCCUCAACAAACUGAACCUCCGCGGCUGCAUGCACAUUGCUAGCCUUCCAGAAAAUGUGGCCAAAUUGGAUAUCCUCAGGCUUUUUGGAUUGUUGCAAUACGGGGGGUUUCCUGUGCGUGCAGAUGAUAGUGAAUCUAGCAGCAGCAAUCUUGUCUUUCUUAAGCAUGCAAAUCCUCAAGUGUUGAGUAUCAAAGAUCUUGUAAAUGUGAAGUCUGUAGAAGAGGCAUGCUGUAUAAGGUUGAUGGAAAAACAGAGCAUCGAAGAAUUGACAUUGCGGUGGGGCGAAGGCGCGAGUUCUGUGGAACACAUGGCGCUGCUAAAAGAGCUAGUGCCACCAACAAGUGUACAGAAUUUGAAUAUAUUUGGCUACAAGGGUGUCAUAUUUCCAUACUGGGUUAUGCAUAUAAGCAAAUAUCUUCCUAAUCUUGUGAGCUUGAGGUUGUGGAGUCUGUCGUGCAGCGGCCUACCAACACUCGUCCAACUACCCAACCUACGCAAGAUUUUUCUUGGCUACAUGUAUAACCUGGAAGAAUUUACCACAGGGUGCUCCAUGAGUGGGGAUGGUGCAAAUGAGCUCACGUUGCCUAAACUUGAGCAUCUGGAAAUGUACAGGUGCCCCAAGUUGAGGAUCAAACCGUGUCCUCCUAGAGCUGUGCACUGGUUUAUAUCAAGUAGUGAUAACGCGCUAUCGUCAUGGGAAGAGUGUGCCUCGACCUCGAGCACACCUGCUUCCUCCUCUUCUCCUCCCGUGAAUAAACUGAAAGUUGAGAAGUCCGAGUUGCCUUUGCACCAGUGGAGAUUGCUUCACCACCUUCCUGGCCUUAAUGAUGUAACCAUCUCCGAUUGCGAUGAUCUGACUAUCUCACCACAGAUCGGCCAAGCCUUCAAGUCCCUGGAAUCACUCUCCCUCGAAUGCAUUGAAAUGAAAAUUCUGCCAGAAUGGUUGGGUGAGCUCACAUCUCUUCGACAACUCAACUUAAUAUGCAUGAACUUCCUACAAGAAUUGGACAAGAACAUGAAGCAACUUACACAGUUGCAAUCGCUGAGUCUGAAGAACUGCAAUGCGUUGACAACACUGCCGCAAUGGUUAGGAGGACUCACCUUGCUCAAGACACUUGAGAUUCAUUUUUGCAAGAGCAUCAUCUCUUUACCGGAGAGUUUAAUCAUCAACCUCCAAGAACUUCAUAUUUCGGACUGCCCUCACUUAUAUGGUUGGUGUAAGUCAGAGGUGAACCAGAUGAAACUGUCUCGCGUCAAGGAAAAGAUUAUUACUAGUGCCUUGUAA